rnacentral:sRNA from 1 species
UCAACAGCUGCUAAGCUCAUUUGAUGAACAA